rnacentral:snRNA from 1 species
GGAUGUGAGGGCGAUCUGGCUGCUACAUCUGUCACCCCGUUGAUCGCCAGGGUUGAUUCGGCUGAUGUGGCUGGCUAGGCGGGUGUCCCCUUCCUCCCUCACCGCUCCAUGUGCAUCCCUGCCGAAGCUGUGCACUCCAUCAAAGAGGACGACCAUCCCCGCUAGAGAAGGACCGGUCUUCGGUCAAGGGCAUACGAGUAGCUGCGCUCGCCUGCUAGAACCUCCAAACAAGCUCUCAUAGUUAAGAAAUUCUUGUACUAUAAAUGAUUAUAUGCAUUAUAAUUUUAUUUUUCAUCAUAUUGACCCACACUAGAUGAAUAAAAUCCAUU